UCAUCCUGUUUUUUUGCCUUCAGUAUGUGUAUUGUAUAUAUUAUAUUCAUAAAAUCAUAUCUGAUGUAUAGUUGUUUCCCUCGUAUUUUUGUAAACUAUGACUGGAUGCAAACAAUCUUCAAAUGUUGACAUCGGUAACUAUUGGAGCGGAACAAGAAAUUCGAUUCGAUGAAAAUCAGACGUCACGCUUCUCUUUGUUUCUUUAUUAUUUCCAGCCUUUUUUGACACGUAAAAAUUUUGUCUUGGACCGACCAGUCUUUUUAAAUUGGCGCCGUAGGUGAGUGCUUUUUGAAUUGUUUUGUGUGAAUCGGCGUGUCGCUAAUAUUCUCAAAUUACAGCACUUUAGUUCACUUUUAAUUCAAGUUUUUUUGCAGUUAUGUUGAUAAAGUUAACUAUAAAGUUAAACUUGGCCUACAAUUAUUAAUUAAUUUAAAUAUCUACGAACUGGCAGUUGGAUUACAAGACUUGUGAAUGUGGAAAUUGAAACAAUGGUUGGCGAGAAGAACUUGCGAGGGCGCGGACAGAAACAAAGUGGCGCGAUCAUGGAUUAUUAAGUCAAGAAGUGAACAAGCUUCGCAUGUUGACAUUGGAGACUUGGGUGAGGCAGGAACUGCGAAUAGUUGAAAACCAAGCAUUAGAUUAACAUUUGUGACUGCAUCUAUGUUGAAUCACAACUGCUAAGCAGAACUCUAAAUGCAUACAUACACGGAGUUUUCAUUGUACUGGCUCACGCGUGGAACAGCGUACCCUUGCUGCAGGUGAAUCCAAAUUUACAUUUUGAAUAGAUUUCCAAUAUACCAAAUACGACUGGAUGAAAGACGUCGAUGAACAUCGAAUUUGGCACAAAUUUUCGGGCUAUUUUACAGGUUAUAUUUUUGUUUGAAAACUUUCUUUUCCAAUUCUAUAACGAUGAACUAAUUAUUAAUCAGGCUUCUCAAAACUGCUUUCUCGGUGCGCCGUUUUCUCGGUGCGUCACGGCGCAAGUAUUUUCAAAGAUGCCAUCAACAGAAGUCUGUUAUAUUCCGCGUUCCAUUCCGUUAAUUAUUUUAGUGUACCAGUGUGGUACGCGAUACUUUCGCAUGAUAGAUGGUUGGCAUCGAACAAUGUGUUCCGAUUCUGUCGGACACCGUAUUGUCUCUUCUUCUACUUCUUCAUACUAGAAUCCUGAUUAACAACAUUUUUGUAGUCCUACAUUACACUCCUCGUUGUGAUAAACACUGCCAAUACCAAUCACUCUGUAUUUUCUUUCAGCUCGUUGUACUUUAGUUUUAGUCUAUAUAAUGUAAUAACUUAGCUAAGUAUUAUGCUUUCGAUCGUAUUCAUGCAAACUAUGACUCGGUAUAUAAACAAGCCGAGAAUGUUGGCAUCGUAAACUACUGGAGAAAAUGCGGUUAGAGGAGCGUUGACUCGGGAUCAGUAAGUAAAUAGAUUCAGAUUGGUAUUUUUGAUUGUGUAUUUGUAGUUAAGUUAAAAUUUUAUUUUCCCAUCACCUCCGCAUUUCCUUUUCCUUAUCAACCAUUAAAAUUAUUUUUGUUGACAAACUUGAAAAGUCUUUAAUUGUAAUUACACGCCUGUAGAAGGUGGGGUGAAAGCACGACGUUGAUAUUGUGGCCAUGGAUGGCCGUGUGACGAUUGAAGUUUAUAUGGACGGCAAGGUAGGUAAUUCGUCUUGAAUUUUGUGACAAAUUUUUAUACGCUAAUAUUCUAUUCGACAUUAAUUUACGGCUAAGUUUCUACUGUCAUCGUAUGAUAUAUUUUCGGUCUUCUCUCACAUACAGUUUCCCAAAAUGAAAUAACCAAACUUCCCUCGAGAUUUGUAGCAUGCCGUGCGUUUGCAUGUAUAUAAAUGGCGAUUCGGUAAACUGGAUGCUUUUGAACGCUGAGCAAUUGAAAAUCAUUUAUUUAGGUUUACAUCUCUAAUCUAAUUACAGCGCCGGAGAGAGAAAAGAGAAAUGAAUGAAAACUAAUAACGUGGUUUUGCGACCACUGCAUUGAAUAUA